rnacentral:piRNA from 1 species
UGCAAUGUUUGGUACAGGUGUUGGCCAC